rnacentral:rRNA from 1 species
UCAAGACUAAGCCAUGCAUGUGCAAGUAUAAACGCUUGAACCGUGAGACUGCGAAUGGCUCAUUAAAUCAGUUAUAGUUUAUUUGAUGGUGUUUACUACGUGGAUAACCGUGGUAAUUCUAGAGCUAAUACAUGCAAAAGGUCCUGACUUUUUGGAAGGGACGUAUUUAUUAGAUCCAAAACCAAUGCGGGUGUCCUGCUUCGGUGGGCCCCGGUACCUUGGUGAUUCAUAGUAACUUCUCGAAUCGCUUGGCCCUCGCGCCGGCGAUGGUUCAUUCAAGUUUCUGCCCUAUCAACUUUCGAUGGUAGGGUAUUGGCCUACCAUGGUUGCAACGGGUGACGGAGAAUUAGGGUUCGAUUCCGGAGAGGGAGCCUGAGAAACGGCUACCACAUCCAAGGAAGGCAGCAGGCGCGCAAAUUACCCAAUCCCGACUCGGGGAGGUAGUGACAAUAAAUAACAAUGCCGGUCCCUAUAGUGGUCCGGCAAUUGGAAUGAGUACAAUCCAAACCCCUUAACGAGGAACAAUUGGAGGGCAAGUCUGGUGCCAGCAGCCGCGGUAAUUCCAGCUCCAAUAGCGUAUAUUAAAGUUGUUGCAGUUAAAAAGCUCGUAGUUGGAUUUCGGGGCCCCGGACGCUCGUUGCGUUGUCUGCCGGACUUGUCCAGUGGGCGCGUGGCGGUCGUCGGUCUCUGAGUCGGAUCGGUCCGCCGAGAGGCGUGCACUGACCGACGGCCCCUGUUGUCUCUCGGGUUGCCCGCCUGCUCUUAACUGUUGCGGACGGGGAGUUCGGGACGUUUACUUUGAACAAAUUAGAGUGUUCCAAGCAGGCCGUUUGCUUUGAAUACAUUAGCAUGGAAUAAUGGAAUAGGGCUGCGUGGCCUGUCGCUUUGUGGCAGGUCCUCGUGUCCUAUUUUGUUGGUUUUCGGGACCGCAGUCAUGGUCAAGAGGGACAGUUGGGGGCAUUCGUAUUCAGUUGUCAGAGGUGAAAUUCUUGGAUUUACGGAAGACGAACAACUGCGAAAGCAUUUGCCAAGGAUGUUUUCAUUAAUCAAGAACGAAAGUUGGG